rnacentral:lncRNA from 1 species
UAAGAGGUAAAUCCAAUGAGACAUUUGUCGUAAACAGACAGCGACUUAAGCAUUACCAAAGUGUAGAAAAGAAGGAUUUAUGCAUGAGUUACAAAUUAGAAGAGCUUCCCGCUCUUUCAAAAGAAUAACUCCAUUCUGAUUUGUGUUGAUCUCCCGACUUUAAAUGAAGCGCUACGUGGGAGGUGAUCCAUGAUCUUAAUUUUUUAUUUUCACUAUUUAUAGUUGUUACUAGUAUAUUUUAUUUUUAUUUUUUACUUUUAUUCUUAUUUUUC